rnacentral:rRNA from 1 species
UACGUAGGGGGCUAGCGUUGUCCGGAAUCAUUGGGCGUAAAGCGCGCGUAGGCGGUCAGGAAAGUCCGGUGUGAAAGUCAUAGGCUCAACCUAUGGAUGCCGCUGGAAACUGCCUGACUUGAGUCCGGAAGGGCGAGUGGAAUUCCUGGUGUAGCGGUGAAAUGCGCAGAUAUCAGGAGGAACACCAAUGGCGAAGGCAGCUCGCUGGAACGGUACUGACGCUGAGGCGCGAAGCGUGGGGAGCGAACAGG